rnacentral:rRNA from 1 species
AAAGGAAGUUGACGGGGCCCGCACAAGCGGUGGAGCAUGUGGUUUAAUUCGAAGCAACGCGAAGAACCUUACCAGGUCUUGACAUCCCCUGACAACCCAAGAGAUUGGGCGUUCCCCUUCGGGGGACAGGGUGACAGGUGGUGCAUGGUUGUCGUCAGCUCGUGUCGUGAGAUGUUGGGUUAAGUCCCGCAACGAGCGCAACCCUCGCCUCUAGUUGCCAGCAUUCGGUUGGGCACUCUAGAGGGACUGCCGGCGACAAGUCGGAGGAAGGUGGGGAUGACGUCAAAUCAUCAUGCCCCUUAUGACCUGGGCUACACACGUGCUACAAUGGGCGGUACAAAGGGCUGCGAACCCGCGAGGGGGAGCCAAUCCCACAAAGCCGGUCGUAGUCCGGAUCGCAGUCUGCAACUCGACUGCGUGAAGUCGGAAUCGCUAGUAAUCGCGGAUCAGCAUGUCGCGGUGAAUACGUUCCCGGGCCUU